rnacentral:circRNA from 1 species
GAGACUAAUGAGCAAAAACUUCACAAAAUAGCCAAUGAACUUUUGCUUACUGAAAGAGCUUAUGUCAACCGACUUGACCUCUUAGAUCAGGUAUUUUAUUGCAAACUGUUGGAAGAAGCAAACCGAGGCUCGUUUCCAGCAGAGAUGGUGAAUAAAAUCUUUUCUAAUAUUUCAUCAAUAAAUGCCUUCCAUAGUAAAUUCCUCUUGCCAGAGCUGGAGAAACGAAUGCAAGAAUGGGAAACUACUCCUAGAAUUGGAGACAUCCUUCAGAAAUUGGCACCAUUCCUUAAGAUGUAUGGAGAAUAUGUGAAAGGAUUUGAUAAUGCAAUGGAAUUGGUUAAAAACAUGACAGAACGUAUUCCCCAGUUCAAAUCAGUGGUUGAAGAAAUUCAGAAACAGAAAAUCUGUGGGAGCUUAACUUUGCAGCAUCACAUGCUAGAACCUGUUCAGCGGAUUCCCCGGUAUGAGAUGCUCCUUAAGGACUAUCUAAGGAAAUUGCCUCCUGAUUCCCUGGACUGGAAUGAUGCUAAAAAAUCACUUGAAAUUAUAUCUACAGCAGCAAGCCAUUCUAAUAGUGCAAUAAGGAAAAUGGAGAACCUAAAGAAACUCUUAGAGAUUUAUGAAAUGUUGGGAGAAGAAGAAGACAUUGUAAACCCUUCAAAUGAACUAAUAAAAGAAGGACAGAUCCUCAAACUAGCUGCUCGGAACACUUCAGCACAAGAACGCUACCUUUUCUUA